rnacentral:lncRNA from 1 species
CAGCCUCCUUGAAAAAGGUUGCUGCUCCCUGCACCAAGCAGGGCAGCAUGGGCAGAAAGGCACCAAAUGCAGAUCAGUGCAAGAGAGUUGCAUACAUUAGCCAAGAGCUCAGCACAGAGUAAGGACUAGGGGAACAAGCUGGUCUGCACAGAGCUCUAUGAAGUCAUCUGCCUCGUAGCUGCUUUGUUACGGGAAUGAGGAAACAAGAGGUAAGAAGUGAUAGGCUGGCAGAUAGAGAGCUGCUUUGGAGGAGCAGUGUCUCCAGGCUGGAGGGGAGCCUGCAUUGUCCCCGGGAGCCUCGCUUUACCAAGGGACUCUGAAGCUCCGUAUUCUGCUCAGGGCUAAGUAGUCCCUGCUUGCACAUUAUUAGGAUCCUCAGCAUUUCCUCCAGUAAAUCUUGACAGCAUGCUGACAACUCAAUUUGAAAGCCAAGUUAUCAGCCUGGAAUCUCCUUUGGGUCUUGAUCUCCAAGGUCACCAUGCCCAUCUCAAGCAGUUGUGUGGCUGCUGGAGGCCCUGGGAACUGCAGGAGCAGGUUGAUGCGCUCACUGGUUCUGUGCAAUGAAAGCACUAACAGAUAAAUGAAAGGAAGGGAAGAGAAGGGCCAGGAAAUACUCUGCUGAUAUCACCCCAGGCUGGUGGAAAUAAUCUCUGAGUGACCACUCAGGUUCCUCUUAUUUUUGUGGUAUCUGUGGCAAAGGAAAAUGUUGCUGGCAACUCUGUCAAGUAAGGCUUUCUUUAAAAUCAAUGAAACUACUUUCUCCUAAAGGGGAUUUCUUGGCUUCUGCCACACAGCUGGCAUCAAGAGAGAAAGGAGCCAUCAAGUUUAGAUGUCAAUAGUGUCAGUUUAAUGCUAGAGGGAAUGACUUGCCUGCCUAUCAGUCCUGAAUGGGUUUUCCUUUUUCUCAUGCUCUGGCUGUAACAGAAGUGAGAGAGGCCAUUGCUUCUGCAUCUCUUUACUUUGCAAAAUCUCUUAACAAUGGCUGACCGGAACGCCUUGCUGUUCUGAUAAUACCUUCUUACCUAGAAUCAUCUUUCUCAGGCCUGCAAUGAGAUUUGGGUGAUUUCUUAUUAGCUAAGUGAGGUAAGUCUGGGUACAGCCUGUUUCCCCUUGCAGGAACACUAGGCUACUUGUACAGUCUGUGCUGUGAUAGUCUCAAGCAAGUGCUAUCAUAAUCCUGGAGCUCCAUUAAACUGACCAUAACAAUGUGUCUGCAAAGGAGCUGGGAUUCCCUUUAUAGCCAGUGCCAUACACAGAGAUACUAGCCAGAUCUUUGUACACAUUAUUUAUUAUAGAAAUCAGUGACAACCCCUUUAUACUCCUGCUUGGGAAUUUGUGUCAUUUACAGCACUGUCUCUUUCCAUUAUCCAAGUGGGGUAAAC